rnacentral:tRNA from 1 species
GCGCUCGUAGCUCAGUGGAUAGAGCAGGGGUCUUCUAAGCCCAUGGUCGCAGGUUCGAAUCCUGCCGAGCGCACCA